rnacentral:rRNA from 1 species
AUUGAACGCUGGCGGCAUGCCUUACACAUGCAAGUCGAACGGCAGCGGACCUUCGGGUGCCGGCGAGUGGCGAACGGGUGAGUAAUAUAUCGGAACGUACCUUUCAGCGGGGGAUAACGUAGCGAAAGUUACGCUAAUACCGCAUAUUCUGUGAGCAGGAAAGCAGGGGAUCGCAAGACCUUGCGCUGAUUGAGCGGCCGAUAUCAGAUUAGCUAGUUGGUGAGGUAAAGGCUCACCAAGGCGACGAUCUGUAGCGGGUCUGAGAGGAUGAUCCGCCACACUGGAACUGAGACACGGUCCAGACUCCUACGGGAGGCAGCAGUGGGGAAUUUUGGACAAUGGGCGCAAGCCUGAUCCAGCCAUGCCGCGUGAGUGAAGAAGGCCUCGGUUGUAAG